rnacentral:ribozyme from 1 species
ACAAAACUUUUGGAUAAUACAGCAUCGUCGUGGAUAAAAGCAAAUGGAAAUGAUGGCAGUGAAGUA